rnacentral:rRNA from 1 species
UUAGAGUUUGAUCCUGGCUCAGGAUGAACGCUAGCGGCAGGCCUAACACAUGCAAGUCGAGGGGCAUCAAGUGUAGCAAUACAUGUUGGCGACCGGCGCACGGGUGAGUAACGCGUAUGCAACCUACCCAUAACAGGGGGAUAGCUUUCGGAAACGGAAAUUAAUACCCUAUAGUAUCCAGCCUACGCAUGUAAAUUGGAUUAAAACUACGGUGGUUAUGGAUGGGCAUGCGUGCCAUUAGCUAGUUGGCGGGGUAACGGCCCACCAAGGCGAUGAUGGCUAGGGGGUCUAAAAGGAUGAUCCCCCACACUGGUACUGAGACACGGACCAGACUCCUACGGGAGGCAGCAGUGAGGAAUAUUGGUCAAUGGGCGAGAGCCUGAACCAGCCAUGCCGCGUGCAGGAGGACGGCCCUACGGGUUGUAAACUGCUUUUGUGUGGGAAGAAAACGCUCUACGCGUAGGGCACUGACGGUACCAUAUGAAUAAGCAUCGGCUAACUCCGUGCCAGCAGCCGCGGCUAAUACGGAGGAUGCGAGCGUUAUCCGGAUUUAUUAGGUUUAAAGGGUGUGUAGGCGGACGAUUAAGUCAGUGGUGAAAUCUCACAGCUUAACUGUGAAACUGCCAUAGAUACUGGUUGUCUUGAGUACAGUUGAAGUAGGCGGAAUGUGUAAUGUAGCGGUGAAAUGCUUAGAUAUUACACAGAACACCGAUUGCGAAGGCAGCUUGCUAAGCUGUUACUGACGCUGAUGCACGAAAGCGUGGGGAGCGAACAGGAUUAGAUACCCUGGUAGUCCACGCCGUAAACGAUGAUUACUCGUUGUUGGCGAUAUAUAGUCAGCGACUGAGCGAAAGCAUUAAGUAAUCCACCUGGGGAGUACGGCGGCAACGCUGAAACUCAAAGGAAUUGACGGGGGCCCGCACAAGCGGAGGAACAUGUGGUUUAAUUCGAUGAUACGCGAGGAACCUUACCUGGGCUUAAAUGUAGCGUGACCGUACCCGAAAGGGUAUUUCCAAGCAAUUGGCAGGUUACAAGGUGCUGCAUGGCUGUCGUCAGCUCGUGCCGUGAGGUGUCGGGUUAAGUCCCAUAACGAGCGCAACCCCUAUUGUUAGUUGCCAUCGGGUCAAGCCGGGAACUCUAACAAGACUGCCACCGUAAGGUGAGAGGAAGGUGGGGAUGACGUCAAGUCAGCACGGCCCUUAUGUCCAGGGCUACACACGUGUUACAAUGGUCAGUACAAAGGGCAGCUACCUGGUGACAGGAUGCUAAUCUCAAAAACUGAUCCCAGUUCGGAUCGAAGUCUGCAACUCGACUUCGUGAAGUUGGAUUCGCUAGUAAUCGUAUAUCAGCAAUGAUACGGUGAAUACGUUCCCGGGCCUUGUACACACCGCCCGUCAAGCCAUGGAAGCCGGGGGUACCUGAAGUCCGUAACCGCAAGGAACGGCCUAGGGUAAAACUGGUGACUGGGGCUAAGUCGUAACAAGGUAGCCAAGGGCGAA